GUGGGGAAUAUUGGACAAUGGGGGGAACCCUGAUCCAGCCAUGCCGCGUGUGUGAAGAAGGCCUUUUGGUUGUAAAGCACUUUAAGUGGGGAGGAGGCUUACCUGGUUAAUACCUGGGCUAAGUGGACGUUACCCACAGAAUAAGCACCGGCUAACUCUGUGCCAGCAGCCGCGGUAAUACAGAGGGUGCGAGCGUUAAUCGGAUUUACUGGGCGUAAAGCGCGCGUAGGUGGUUAAUUAAGUCAAAUGUGAAAUCCCCGAGCUUAACUUGGGAAUUGCAUUCGAUACUGGUUGGCUAGAGUAUGGGAGAGGAUGGUAGAAUUCCAGGUGUAGCGGUGAAAUGCGUAGAGAUCUGGAGGAAUACCGAUGGCGAAGGCAGCCAUCUGGCCUAAUACUGACACUGAGGUGCGAAAGCAUGGGGAGCAAACAGGAUUAGAAACCCGGGUAUCC
rnacentral:rRNA from 1 species